rnacentral:rRNA from 1 species
UACAGAGGUCUCAAGCGUUGUCCGGAUUCAUUGGGUUUAAAGGGUGCGCAGGCGGGCGAUUAAGUCAGGGGUGAAAGACGGUUGCUCAACAAUCGCAGUGCCUUUGAUACUGGUUGUCUUGGGGUGACCUUGAGGUAGGCGGAAUGGGUGGUGUAGCGGUGAAAUGCGCAGAUAUCAGGAGGAACACCGGUGGCGAAGGCGGCUUGCUGGGCCAGUUCUGACGCUGAGGAGCGAAAGCGUGGGGAGCGAACAGG